rnacentral:lncRNA from 1 species
GGAUGGGAAAGUGUAAACCUGACUGAUCCCUCUCAAGUCUUGAAAAUCCUGCAUUUCCAAAAUCCUAUGCUCUAUGUCCCAGUGCAACUCUUAUUAAAGAAUACAGAUGAAGGCUGACCAAUUUCAAAGGGAAUUGGAAGAGUCAUGGAGGAGCUGGAAAAGAUUAUUCUGCAGGAGGGUAGAAAUUCAACUGGGUUACAGCUGAGUUAACAAAGAGAAGCCAAUUUCUAGAAUGGCCCUGAUGACUUUGCUGCAGUGCUGGAUAAAGAAUAUUUAAGACUGCUGGGCAUGGUGGUGGAAGCAGCUAAGGUAGGUGGAACUUCUUGCAGACUAACGACAUUUUGUCCUUUUCUGUAUGCCAAUCGCACAAAUCCCAACUAAAUUAUUAACAUAUUGUCAGGAAUCAUGAAUAGCAAGUUCCAGUAUUUGAAAAAUGGGAGACGAAAAGAAGGAAAAAAAAUCAAGAGAAACCAAAAUCCUGAGGUGCUAUUUUAAGCUUCUAUAGACAAGCUGUGUCAAAUAGUGGGAACAGUUCACGUAGCAGGUGAAAGUUUGCUGCCGAAAGCUUUCAGUCCAAAGAAACUUUUUCCUUUGUGAGAUGAUUUAAACUGUAAACCAUAAAUACCCUGGUACCUCCCUGACCAAGAUAACAACCUCAGGAGAAAAAAAAAAAAAAAAAAAAAAAAAAAAAAACCCCAAAAAAUAUUACUGUGACCUGUUUUAUGGUAAGGUCAGGCUCUUAAUCAGUUUCGGGGUAUAGCUCUUGAAACGAGAAUGAAAGACUUUCUCCCUGAAUAGUUUGCUCUCCUCAGGUUAUAGUGAAACAAAAUAUGUAAAGUUUUUUGCUUCUGAGUGUUAGAGCUGCUCUUUUAACUUUCCUUUUAAGUUGGAAAAAUGCAGUGAAUAGAAUCAUUCUUUUCAACUCAAAACUUCUUCAUGAAGGGUUGAGUCUUUUUUUUUAUGGUUGCACUGGUACUAACACACCAGCUUCAGAUGACCUUUACAAGUAUCACAUGGAGGCUUUAUCCUGAUUAAAAUGGUUUUCUACACAGAAGGGGAAGGCCUGUGACACCACUCCGAACAAAACCUCUGCAGGACAAGGUGUAAAAGGAUAAAAUAUAUUGCUUCCUCUAAGAGGAAUGGAAAAAAGGACCGAGAGAUUCUGAAUAAGAGAGAGACAUGAAAACCU